GAUGAACGCUAGCUACAGGCUUAACACAUGCAAGUCGAGGGGAAACGGCAUUGAGUGCUUGCACUCUUUGGACGUCGACCGGCGCACGGGUGAGUAACGCGUAUCCAACCUUCCCAUUACUGUGGGAUAACCUGCCGAAAGGCAGACUAAUACCGCAUAGUCUUCGUUGACGGCAUCAGAUAUGAAGUAAAGAUUUAUCGGUAAUGGAUGGGGAUGCGUCUGAUUAGCUUGUUGGCGGGGUAACGGCCCACCAAGGCGACGAUCAGUAGGGGUUCUGAGAGGAAGGUCCCCCACAUUGGAACUGAGACACGGUCCAAACUCCUACGGGAGGCAGCAGUGAGGAAUAUUGGUCAAUGGACGGAAGUCUGAACCAGCCAAGUAGCGUGCAGGAUGACGGCCCUAUGGGUUGUAAACUGCUUUUGUAUGGGGAUAAAGUUAGGGACGUGUCCCUAUUUGCAGGUACCAUACGAAUAAGGACCGGCUAAUUCCGUGCCAGCAGCCGCGGUAAUACGGAAGGUCCAGGCGUUAUCCGGAUUUAUUGGGUUUAAAGGGAGCGUAGGCUGGAGAUUAAGUGUGUUGUGAAAUGUAGACGCUCAACGUCUGAAUUGCAGCGCAUACUGGUUUCCUUGAGUACGCACAACGUUGGCGGAAUUCGUCGUGUAGCGGUGAAAUGCUUAGAUAUGACGAAGAACUCCGAUUGCGAAGGCAGCUGACGGGAGCGCAACUGACGCUUAAGCUCGAAGGUGCGGGUAUCGAACAGG
rnacentral:rRNA from 1 species